AGAUUGAACGCUGGCGGCAUGCCUAACACAUGCAAGUCGAACGGAGUAGCAAUACUUAGUGGCGGACGGGUGAGUAACGCGUGAGAAUCUACCUUCAGGACGGAGACAACAGUUGGAAACGACUGCUAACCCCCGAUGUACUGAAAAGGCAAAUAUUUAUAGCCUGAAGAAGAGCUCGCGUCCGAUUAGCUAGUUGGAGAGGUAAAAGCUCACCAAGGCGACGAUCGGUAGCUGGUCUGAGAGGACGAUCAGCCACACUGGGACUGAGACACGGCCCAGACUCCUACGGGAGGCAGCAGUGGGGAAUUUUCCGCAAUGGGCGAAAGCCUGACGGAGCAAGACCGCGUGGGGGAAGAAGGCUCUUGGGUUGUAAACCCCUUUUCUCUGGGAAGAACACAAUGACGGUACCAGAGGAAUCAGCAUCGGCUAACUCCGUGCCAGCAGCCGC
rnacentral:rRNA from 1 species